GGUUGGGUUAUAAAACUAAAUGGUAUCUGGUGGCAAAAUUAUAACUUGUUAUAUUGUUAAUUAUAUUGCUACUAAUCCUAACCACUUCCAGUGUAUCAUAUUCCUAAAGGAAAUAUUAAUUAUCAUGUACCCCUUGAAUAAAUAAAUGGCUUGUAGCUCCCUAGUCUUCAUUGUUUCGGGCAAAGAAAAGUAAUUCCAUCUUUCAGAGC
rnacentral:misc_RNA from 1 species